AACGAACGCUGGCGGCAUGCCUAACACAUGCAAGUCGAACGAGACCUUCGGGUCUAGUGGCGCACGGGUGCGUAACGCGUGGGAACCUGCCUUUAGGUUCGGAAUAACUCCCCGAAAGGGGUGCUAAUACCGGAUAAUGUCUUCGGACCAAAGAUUUAUCGCCUUUAGAUGGGCCCGCGUAAGAUUAGGUAGUUGGUGGGGUAAAGGCCUACCAAGCCGACGAUCUUUAGCUGGUCUGAGAGGAUGAUCAGCCACACUGGGACUGAGACACGGCCCAGACUCCUACGGGAGGCAGCAGUGGGGAAUAUUGGACAAUGGGCGAAAGACCUGAUCCAGCAAUGCCGCGUGAGUGAUGAAGGCCUUAGGGUUGUAAAGCUCUUUUACCAGGGAUGAUAAUGACAGUACCUGGAGAAUAAGCUCCGGCUAACUCCGUGCCAGCAGCCGCGGUAAUACGGAGGGAGCUAGCGUUGUUCGGAAUUACUGGGCGUAAAGCGCACGUAGGCGGCGAUUC
rnacentral:rRNA from 1 species